rnacentral:lncRNA from 1 species
UAUUGGAUUUGGCUUAGAUGUAUCUUGCUUGAUUUGUGCUGUCCUGAGUGUGCACUUAUGGUGUAUCAUCAACGGUCUGGAAGCUGUCCUGCCUCUCUAGCUACUAGGGAUGGCAAUGAGUUGGGUGUGGGUUGGAGAGUCCAUUACUCAUAUCCACUCUAUUCUUGUUUCGGGUUAGAUGGGACAAGUAGGUAUAAUUAGAAGGAGCAGGAUAAGAAACAAAUCAGAUCAGAUAAUGUUAUAUAUAUAUAUAUAUUUUGGGGCAUAACGAAACAUAUUUUUUGCUCGAAGGAGGAAAUUUUUGUAAAAAAUUAUAUAUAUCUGGAUCAAGUUCAAGAUAGAAUUAUUUUUAUCUAUACGUUUUCUCGAUCUAUUGUGGUUUGAGUCGGGUACCCGAGGGGUUGGAGUAAAUUGUCACCCCUACCAGCUACCGACAUAUGGGCAAAGCAGUGAGAGAAGCCUUAGUAGGC